rnacentral:misc_RNA from 1 species
CACAAUGAGCGGUGCGGGCACUUUACGUGCGAUGCCCGAUAGCCGCGGCCGCGGCUCGUGGGAGAGCGCUUGAACGAUCCGACACCAUCGUCUGCCGAAGAGAGCCGGAUACAGGACUAUCUGGCCGGCCGU